rnacentral:rRNA from 1 species
CGUAUCACCCAAGACAACUUUACGGAGUUGACGAUUGACGGAGCGAAGCGACGUCAAAGCGUUCAUUAAAGUCGAGUUGGCUUAGGGAUACGUUCGUUGGGUAGGGGAGCGUUCUGUAAGCCUGUGAAGGUGUGUCGUGAGGCAUGCUGGAGGUAUCAGAAGUGCGAAUGCUGACAUAAGUAACGAUAAAGCGGGUGAAAAGCCCGCUCGCCGGAAGACCAAGGGUUCCUGUCCAACGUUAAUCGGGGCAGGGUGAGUCGACCCCUAAGGCGAGGCCGAAAGGCGUAGUCGAUGGGAAACGGGUUAAUAUUCCCGUACUUGGUGUUACUGCGAAGGGGGGACGGAGAAGGCUAUGUUGGCCGGGCGACGGUUGUCCCGGUUUAAGCGUGUAGGUGUGUGUUCCAGGUAAAUCCGGUUCACUUUAACACUGAGGCGUGACGACGAGGCACUACGGUGCUGAAGCAACAAAUGCCCUGCUUCCAGGAAAAGCCUCUAAGCAUCAGGUAACACGAAAUCGUACCCCAAACCGACACAGGUGGUCAGGUAGAGAAUACCAAGGCGCUUGAGAGAACUCGGGUGAAGGAACUAGGCAAAAU